CUCUGGUUGGAGUUUCAGCACUUCCAGGAGGAUGGAGGUCUUUCUCUCUGAGAGGUUUAUGGACCAGACUGCAGGAGCUGACUGGAAAACUGACUGUAAUGAUGGAAGGACACUCAAGCCUGUUUUAGUCUCAUAAGAGUACAGGUCCAUGAGGAAGUCACACCAUUUCUCUUCAAAAGAACUGUUUUUGUA